rnacentral:rRNA from 1 species
AUUGAACGCUGGCGGCAGGCCUAACACAUGCAAGUCGAGCGGUAGAGAGGUGCUUGCAUCUCUUGAGAGCGGCGGACGGGUGAGUAAUGCCUAGGAAUCUGCCUAGUGGUGGGGGAUAACGUUCGGAAACGGACGCUAAUACCGCAUACGUCCUACGGGAGAAAGCGGGGGAUCUUCGGACCUCGCGCCAUUAGAUGAGCCUAGGUCGGAUUAGCUAGUUGGUGAGGUAAUGGCUCACCAAGGCGACGAUCCGUAACUGGUCUGAGAGGAUGAUCAGUCACACUGGAACUGAGACACGGUCCAGACUCCUACGGGAGGCAGCAGUGGGGAAUAUUGGACAAAUGGGCCGAAAGACCUGAUCCAGCCACUGCCGCGUGUGUGAAGAA